GAUGAACGCUGGCGGCGUGCCUAACACAUGCAAGUCGAGCGGCAGCGAGGGGUGCUUGCACCCUGUCGGCGAGCGGCGGACGGCUGAGUAACGCGUGGGAACGUGCCCCAAAGUGAGGAAUAACUGCCCGAAAGGGUAGCUAAUACCGCAUAUUAUCUUCGGAUCAAAGGAUUUAUCCGCUUUGGGAGCGGCUCGCGUCGGAUUAGGUAGUUGGUGAGGUAAUGGCUCACCAAGCCGACGAUCCGUAGCUGGUCUGAGAGGAUGACCAGCCAGACUGGAACUGAGACACGGUCCAGACUCCUGCGGGAGGCAGCAGUGAGGAAUCUUCCACAACGGGCGAAAGCCUGAUGGAGCAACGCCGCGUGAAGGACGAAGGCCUUCGGGUUGUAAACUGCUUUUAUAAGUGAGGAAUAUGACGGUAACUUAUGAAUAAGGAUCGGCUAACUACGUG
rnacentral:rRNA from 1 species